UAUCGUAGGAGGUAAACUAAAAUUCAACCGGUAGAUUUAAAAACGAGCGUAAAAGAAGGGAACUCGAAACACUUAUGGUCCGACGUACAAUUAUGUUUAAGACAUACACGAAACGAGUGAACGGAGUGAUCGUUGUCUAUCCUUCGAAAAAGGCACAAUAAAUGUGACCGAAACGUCA